CAGUAGCCGCGGGAAUACGUAGGUGGCAAGCGUUGUCCGGAAUUAUUGGGCGUAAAGCGCGCGCAGGCGGAUCAGUCAGUCUGUCUUAAAAGUUCGGGGCUUAACCCCGUGAUGGGAUGGAAACUGCUGAUCUAGAGUAUCGGAGAGGAAAGUGGAAUUCCUAGUGUAGCGGUGAAAUGCGUAGAUAUUAGGAAGAACACCAGUGGCGAAGGCGACUUUCUGGACGAAAACUGACGCUGAGGCGCGAAAGCCAGGGGAGCGAACGGGAUUAGAUACCCGAGUAGUCCCUGUCUCUUAACAC
rnacentral:rRNA from 1 species